UCUGAGCCUCCACGCGGCGCUACGUCGCCCAAUCCCCCCAGGGCAGGAAUGCAGCAAGGGUAAGCGGCCUCUUGCGGGUGUGUGGAGGUUUUCUUAU
rnacentral:SRP_RNA from 1 species